UAAUCUCACUACGGUCGACUUUAUGUCUUUCUGUAUGUGGACUUGGAUGUUUGCCGUGGAUAUCCACGGCUCGUCUGAAAUGCCUGUGUACCCCGCUUUGCGGCGUAUUCGGUGUGAUACAUCUUCACCGGAGUUGAUCCUUUGGGGUCGCGUCUGUAACGAGUGUGGCUCUAUGCUUUCCAACCGUCCGUAGUGGACAAACCUUUUGACA
rnacentral:misc_RNA from 1 species